UGUGGUAUUUACAUAUGUGUGUGUGUGACUGCUGCACACACUUUAAGAGCUGUAGUGCUGAUCAGAGUGUGUUCAGUCCUUUCAGAGCCACUGACACGCAGCACAAUGAUGAUGGUACUGAUUCUACUGCUGGGGACACUGGGACUCCUCGCUCACCAGUCCUUUGGGGAAAUCGUCCUGACUCAGUCUCCAGGAUCUCACACUGUUUCUCCAGGAGACACUGUUACUCUCACCUGUAGAACAAGUCAUGAUGUUAGCAGUGACCUCCAGUGGUACCUGCAGAAACCUGGAGAAGCUCCUAAACUUUUGAUCUAUAAUGAUAAUCUCUUCUCAGAGACAAGCUCUCCCAGCUGAAUGUACCUGAUUCCAUGUGCAGCUGGAUGCUGGGAAUGCAUGUAUCUGACUCCCGGAUAUUCUGCACUGGAUCCCCCUAAGAUCCCCCCUGUGUCCUGUCAAACUUU